GACGAACCGUGCGAACGUUAUUCGGAAUCACUGGGCUUAAAGCGCGCGUAGGCGGCUCGGAAAGUCGGUCGUGAAAUGCCGGGGCUCAACCCCGGGACUGCGUCCGAUACUUCCGGGCUGGAGGUAGGUAGGGGAGAUCGGAAUUCCUGGUGUAGCGGUGAAAUGCGCAGAUAUCAGGAGGAACACCGGUGGCGAAGGCGGAUCUCUGGGCCUUACCUGACGCUGAGGCGCGAAAGCUAGGGGAGCGAACAGG
rnacentral:rRNA from 1 species